UCGAGUUUUUGACAUAAGUUUAAAUGAAGAAACCUUUAACAACCAAUAAAGCCUCAUAAAGUUUAAGUUUACUUAAAAUGUUUUAACGUAUGUAAUAUUUUCAAAAAUAAAAAUAAUAAAAAUACAAAAGGCGAUAACUUUCUUUAAAAUUGGAAUUUUUGAAAUCGGAUUGGACACAAAUAUGGACUAUGAAUAGGAGAACUAGAAUAUAACCUUUACUCGAUUUUGACUUAAGUCGACUUAAGAUGUUAUGGCAAGAAGCGUUUCAAGUUGAUGAUCAGCUGAGUAUAGAGUACUCCACUACUCAAAUAACAGAUAUCAAAAUUUUAAAAUUAAUCACGUAUAAAGUUGAAAUAAGUGAAUAAUUGCCUUUUACGAAAUUGUACACAAACAGUGUAUUUCAUGGAACAUGAAUUUCCCGACGUAUCUACAGGAUAAUUUAAAAAUAAAGACUUAUGAAUCCAUUUUGGCGAUGGAAAGCAGUUUCCUUGGCGGCGGGAAAGAAGUAACACUAUCUCCCUACUCGUUUAAUGCUCUUCUCACUCUAUUCAACUACAUUUUACUUAAGUGGUCCCAUUCUACGAUAAAACGUAUAUUUGCCCCCUAUUGGUCAAGUUUUGCCAACUAAUAGCCUAGACAGACGGCAGAGUUAACCCCGAUAAACUGCACUUUUAAACAGUUCCAAAUAUGUAGGUGACAGACGGCAGCAAAGCGAGUUAUAAACUCCCAUAAACAGCUGACUGGCAAUAAUAUUUUCAGUUUGAAAAAAUUAGCUAUUUCAUUGCAUGCGUAUGUUUUUGUUUACAUUCAAUUGAAAAACAGCUGUCAGAAUUACAUAUUUUCAUUCACAAUAUGUUAAAAGUUGCCAUGUUUAACAAUGUUGCCAACGAAAAUGCCACGAACUCCCACUAACUCUCUAAAAUUUUGAGGAUUAAAUGGGAUUUAUCAAACGGAGUUAACUGACAUAUACCACGUUUAUGCUUCAUUUCUACUCGGAUAUAUUAUACACGGGUAAGUUCAACCCACAUGCAUAAAUACUUAUUCACCACGAAAACGUUUUAACUCGGAUGCAUAAACGGAUGUAGAGUUAAUUUGAACGGCAAAUCAGCUAAUUUUGUUGACGCAUACUGUUAAAUUAAAUAUAAUAUUUUUCUGUUUGUUGAUUAUUAAAUUUAUUUGAUUAAAAUGGAGCAAAAGAAAAGAAAUAUUUGGUUAGACGAAGAAGUAGUUAAUUUGAUUGAAAUAAUAAAAGAAAAAUCAAUAUUUAAAUUGUUAGACGGUUAAGUCAAAAGAAAUAAAAACGUAUACGAGAUGGUAGCAAAAGAGAUGCAGAAAAAAGGUUAUGUAGAAAAUACAGCACAAGUUCGUGAUAAGUUCAAAAUUUAAAGAGGGACUAUGUUAAAAUUAAACGAUGCAACACAAAAAGUGGAAGCCAACGACACUGUGGAAAAUAUUUUAAUUUGCUGGAUGACUUAUUGGGACACCGACCAUGUGUUACUGCGGAUGGUGUAGACACAUUUCUUGAUGUGUCAUGCGAUGAAUGGGAAACGGAAAACAACAACAUAUUUUAUUUCAAUAGUGGAUUCAGAAACAAUAUAUUUAGCAAUACCGGAACUAUGUUUUGACACGACAACAAUGAUCGAGACGAUAACAUCUAAUGCUACUAAUAUUGAUGAGCUAACACCACAAUGUUCGAAAUCCACAUUCAAACAUGCUGGAAAAAACUCGUAUCAAAAAGUUGUGGGCAAAUUUUCGGAAGAUUAGAAGGAGAAUCAAAAAGAAAUGCUGAAUGAUUUGAAAGUUCAAGUUGAACAAUUUUUGAAAAGUAUGGAUCAACAAAUUGAACGGGAGCGCGACAUUUUAAACGAACAUAGAGAUGAAAUAUCCAUAAUGAUGGAAAAAGACCGUGUUGAAAUAAUGAGUAUGUUCGAAUCAAUGCUUGCAGCUAUGCAACCCCCGACACAUUCAUCUUCAAAUUAAUUAAAUAGUUUAAAAUAAGAAAUUUUAGAUUUAUAUUAUUUAAAAAACACACAUGUACACUGAUAUGAAUUAAUGAAAUUAAAUGCGAGAGCGUCGUAAUGUAAAAUUAUUA